rnacentral:rRNA from 1 species
AAUAUUGCACAAUGGGGGAAACCCUGAUGCAGCGACGCCGCGUGAGCGAAGAAGGCCUNCGGGUCNUNAAGCUCUGUCCUAAGGGNCGAAAAGGACGGUACCUUAGGAGGAAGCCCCGGCUAACUACGUGCCAGCAGCCGCGGUAAUACGUAGGGGGCGAGCGUUAUCCGGAAUUACUGGGCGUAAAGGGUGCGGAGGCGGCUUUUUAAGUCAGAUGUGAAAUAGUACGGCUUAACCGUAUUUAGCAUAUGAAACUAAGAAGCUUGAGGACAGGAGAGGAGAGUGGAAUUCCUAGUGUAGCGGUGAAAUGCGUAGAUAUUAGGAGGAACACCAGUGGCGAAGGCGACUCUCUGGACUGCAACUGACGCUGAGGCACGAAAGCGUGGGUAGCGAACAGG